UGCAUGAAGUCCAGUACACCACUUAAUUCUAUAACAUUAAUCACAGACAAUACAGGGACACUGUUGCUAACUUUAUUCUUCUGAGUCCUUACUGUAAAAUGCUACAGCAGUGAAUGCAAAGAAAUAUCAUAGUUCUGAAAUAAUGAUGGAACUGAAGAAGGUCACGUGAUGCAAACACUUGUGAAAUUAGUAGAAUUAUGUAUUUCUUGCCAAGGCUUAUCUUCUGAGACUGUGGUUGUUUACAGGAGCUCUAGUACAGAAGCCAUGAAGAAAGAUGAUAUGAGGAGGCUGAUUCUGCAAUCUUAUUCAGAUGAAUCAGGACUGAGCAGUGAAUGCAUUCAUUUUCAUGAGGGAGAAGCAAAAGCAGAUAAAGUAGAAGAGAUGAAGUAAGUAUGUCAGAAGAGCACCUUUAUACUGUUGACUACUAAAUGGCAGAUUUGAUGAGAGCAGGCAAAAAUAUUCAGAAUUCAAUAGAUGUCAAGCAAUGAAAAUGCCUCAAGCACUUUCAAUAUCACCAUGUUUUAUAGAUGAAUGAAAGAAACUGAGCUUCAGUGUGCACAGGUAUUCUACAAGUGAGGUUAAAAUGCUGGAGUUGCUACCUGUGAGGGGUACAGGGCAUAGUUUUGUCUCCCCUCCACGUAGCACCGUUGCUGCAAUUGUCAAAUAUGGGGUUAUUUUAGAUGUUCCAGAAAGUUAAACUCAAAACUCUCUUCGUCAUUAUGGCCGAGAAAAUACCAUUAUCCAGUAGAUGAUAACAAAUAUUAUGGAACAAUUUCAAGCUUGGAGCUGUGUGGGGAAUGCUGCACAAGAAGCUGCGCCAGUAGACCUGAACAAGAGCACGAACAUUCUGACCCUCAUCAGCUGCAAACCAUGGCAGUCAAGAGGAGUCAAAGUUAGAACACUGAGAUAAUCUCUGAGAACUGUAGAUGUUGAAACAAAGAAGUCACUGAAGACAAAGAUGUAAUGUACCUCGGACUUUCCCAGGAGCUAAUGAAAGUCUCCAGUGUGGACUAAGGGGACAAAAGAAGUGUGUUCAAGGAAAAUGGAAAGUAAUAAUAUGGCAGAAAGUGUUAACAGAGAAAUGUGCUUAUACAUCUGAGAACAAAUAAGUUGUUCAAGCAAAGGCACGUGAACAAUAAUGUGAUCAGUUGAGAAAAGCGUAUGAUGUUGCAAAAAGUACUAAAAAGAAACUAACAUAUUAACAUUUACUAACCGCUAGGCAGGGGUCUAUAAAAAGUCUAUACUCUUGCUCAAUAAACGAUUUCGGUUGCAUCACAACUGGAGUCCGUGUUUCAGUUGCCACAGAGCUGCAGUAGGGAAGCAGAAAUGAGAUAUUUUUAGCACUUGAGGAUGUCAGUUUGGUGCCAUCUUUCUCCCUGGUAAGUUUACAUUGGAGGAAGGAUGGUGUUUAAGGGCUAGACAUGGAAAAAUGCCUGUUUCUUUGUAGCAUUUUGUGUUGAAAAUGAGACUACACAAGGUAGAAAUUUAACUUGCAUGUUUCCUGACUGACCUGCCUCUGGUCCUGCUAAAUGUUAUAGGAUUUAUUUGGCUUUUAAUCUCUUCAAACACCAAACCCCUGUCAGAAGACUAACAGUGGAAGACUUUAGUAUACUGUAACAUUCUGGAUUUUGAGCCUUUUUUUUUGUUGGUUUGGUUUGGUUUUCUGUGGCUGUUUUCUGUUUGUACGUGUUCACUGUCUUAGAGUAAAAGCCUGCAUCUUAAUCCUUUUCCCAAAAGACUAGGCAUUUAAAGAUGUAAUUUUUGUCAAAUUUGCAUGUUUAAAUUGUAAUUCUGUAAAUGCUUUCCAGUGUUUCCUGGUGGCAUUUGGAGUCUGGUUUUGUUUGUAUAAUUGGAAGUUCCCUGGUACAAUUAAAACUUCUUCAGUUUUGACCACUUGAGAGCUACAAAAUGGAAUUGUUAUUCUUUUGUGUAAGUAUGUGGUGAGUAGGCUUUAAAGGCCUAUGUAAGUUAUUUUUGUAUUCCCAUCAAUAGAGCAUCUGUGUAAGAGGAGUAUCUUGAGUGUUUGUUCUGGCUUCCAGUAAAGUUUUUAUGACUAAGAACAAAUGUAACAAUUGUAAGAAUUGUUAAUGAGACACUGAAUUGCACUCUCACGUGAUCCUUCUGCUUGGCCUGAGAAGUCUUGAAUUACUUUCCUUACAGUAGUGCAGCCUCAGCUGAAUGUUGUAGUAUAGUUUCCAGCUUUCUUGUUAAUGCAUUCUCUGGGAAAAUGGAGGAUGUGAGUAUGAGCUCCCUCAUUCUCAGGAGAAAAUCAGAGCUGAGCUUUUUGUUUCAUAGGUGAUAGUGAGGCUCUUCCAUGAACACUAGAAACUUUCAUUAAGUUGUGUUCUGCAGGAGUAGAACAGAUGCCAAUCAGCUCUGAAAGAAAUGUGCAUUUCUUGGGGGAGUGAGAUGUAGGCUGUGGAUCUCUAGAGAAUGAAAUACUUUCCAUGAAACCUGAAGAAGAUAUUUAGAGACAUACUGUUGUCUAUAAAAAAAGCUUUGUCUAUACUAGCUUUUAGCAAUGCUACUCUUUUCCUGGCGACUUAAGUCUGUUUUAUCCCUUCCUGAGCCCUGUGUAGGGCAUGUGGCAACUUCUCUGAAGGUCAUGGUCUCUGAUUUGAGGGCAAUGGUAAAUAUACCUAUUACUGCAUCUGUAUGUGAGCUUUUUAUCGUAUUUAUCACUUUAUUCUACUUACACUUUAAUUAUGCUUACCUAAUGUGGAAUCUUCUGCAGCUACUGUUGAACUGCUUUUUUUUUUUGCCAUGUUGUGAUUUUCAGAUGCUCUUUCUCACAGGCUGAUGUGUUGAAAUUGUGAGAUUAACAGUAAGGAUUGUUUUAAAGAAACCCAAACCCAACCCACCCCCAAGCCCUACAGAUUCCUGUGAUCCACUUACUAAAGAUAUGCCUAAUUUGUACUGAAAAUAGAAAAAAAAAAAACAAAAAAACCAAAAAAACCCCACCAACCUCUAUUAAUCUGGAAUUGCUAGCCCUUUGGUGUCAAGGACAUUUAAAUGAAGAUUUCAUAAGUUAAUCAUGAAAUUGAAAGUGGUAUUAAUAGCACUGUACUGCUAUUCACUGUAUAGGAAUUCUGUGAUAUGUAGCAGUGUUAUAGCUCCGCAAAUACUGGUACAGAAUUAGAACUUUUUCUGAGUGUAUGAGUAUCCAUUUAUUUAUUUUUAUUUCAGGUUAUACUGUAUCCUAUGUUUAGAAGAAUUGCAAAUGAAAAAGUUUGAUUUUUUUUUUUUUUUUUUUUUUUUCUGUUUUCUGCCUUUACUGAACAGGUAAAUAGAAGACCUAGUCAGCUACUUGUAUUGUUACUAGUAUCAGGACAUGUACUGCUGUACUGUCUGGCAUGAUGGCAAAUACAUGUUUGUCUAAGGAACAGCUCUACUUCCAAAUAAAUAAAAAAGUGUUCUGCACAUUGCAGCCUCAUAACUGGCCCUGCUGAAGAUUAAGGGUAUCAGGAUAUAUCAGUUAUAAUGAAGAUACAGGUUCUGUGUAAGUGAGAAUUUAGGUCCUCAUAGGAUUUAGGCUACAUGUCCUUCUUCUCUGCUCACUACUUGUACUCCAAAGUAUUAUAUUAGGAUUUUAUUUUUUUUAGAAAGGUUCUGCACCCAGAUUUGUCCAGUGAACUUCUCAGACUUCAAAGAUAACUUUACUCUCAGAAAUAUGACAGAACAAUGUAGCUACUUGGAGGAAUUCUGCUGACAGUUACUGUGAAGAAUCUAUUAAGCUGACUCUUAAACUUGCGUUGCUUUUUUGUUAGCUACCUAAAGGUAUGAGUAAUUACUUCAACAUUCUUGUUGUAGAGAACUGUAUGAACCAGUUUACAAAGCUUGUGAAAGUAUGACUUGAGUUCUUUUGUUAUUUCAAUCAGUGCAUGAUUUUGAAUAGAACUACUAAAAACAGAGCUCUGUUUGACAUGUGUAUUUCGGGGGGUAGUUAAGAAAAGUUACUGUAGCCAGAAGCAUAUUUUAUAAAUAUGAAAAGAUAGAGGGAUGAAGAUUGCUGGACACAUUAACAAAUUUAUGUAUACAAAAAUCAUUAUGUAACAUACAGAAAAGUAACAUUUCCAUUAGAAUAUUUUUUAAUGAUAAAACAUGAAACUCACAGGAUUUUGAAACUGUUCAUAUGAAUAUUGAAAAACAACAGCAAAAAAAAUAAUCUAUAUUGGAAGGAAUUCUAAAUCUUUUAAUGAAAAGUUAAGAGUAGUGCAGCAAUGAGGAAAAGCCUGCACUAAUACUGAAAUUGCUGAAAUGUCUUCAGUCACUUUAGGAAGCCAAAAAUAGAACACUUCAUCUUUGGAAACUCAAGUUUUGGAUUUUAAUAACAGUUUUCCUCUGAAGAUUUUCCAUUUAGUUGUUACAGGGAUGAACAGGUCUUUUAAUUUCCACUGAAUUCAGUUCUGUUUGAAAAGUUUCCAUGCAGAACUACAUUUUGGUACACUGACCAAGAAAAAAAGAAUCUGGUAGUGUCUGGGGGGUGGUAUCUUAUUUUUAUAAUAAUUUAUAAGUUUUGAAUUCUGCUCUCCCAGUGUCUUAACUCAUACAAACUGUAUUUUGUUGCCCUCAUUUUUCCCACUCUGUCUCAAGGGCAUGAUUUUCUUUUUUUUUUUUCUUU